UACGUAGGGUGCGAGCGUUGUCCGGAAUUAUUGGGCGUAAAGGGCUCGUAGGCGGUUUGUCGCGUCGGGAGUGAAAACCUCGGGCUUAACUCGGGGCUUGCUUUCGAUACGGGCAGACUAGAGGUAUGCAGGGGAGAACGGAAUUCCUGGUGUAGCGGUGAAAUGCGCAGAUAUCAGGAGGAACACCGGUGGCGAAGGCGGUUCUCUGGGCAUGAUCUGACGCUGAGGCGCGAAAGGCGUGGGGAGCAAACAGG
rnacentral:rRNA from 1 species